ACCCAGCAGCACAGCCCAGGGCCCGGGCCACCCAGAGCUGCCGACUCGGCCUGCCGCUCUGGCCGUGACACCGACAGCAGGCGCAGCCCAUCCCCGCCCAGCGCCGCCAUCGCGCCCGGACCGCGGCGCGCACCAGUGACGUGAUCCCGCCGCCGUUCGACCCGCGCCUCCCGCAAGCGCAGGUGAUGUCAUCCGGCAGCGCGGGCGCCCCGCCCCCGACCCCGACACUGAAGCAGAGGCUGCGCGCGCGGAACAGGUUUAUUGAACAACAGAUAGCACGUGGCCCCAGCAGCUGCCGGGCAGGCGUGGACGCGUGGGAAGGGCACCCUAGCUUAGGGCUCAGGGCCGGGAUUCAGCCACUCGGAUAGAUUGGAGACCUCCUGCAGCCACAGCGAGUCCUGCGGGAGGAAAGGGAGUCCUGGCAGAACCGCCACAGGAUUGAUGGUGACGGCAGCCGCAGCUUCGUAAAGCUGAGCAGCUCAAGCAGUCUUCUGAGGGACAGGGAGGGGCAGCUUCACCAGAGAGACAGUGAAAUUUGAAAGCCAUAACAGAAAGGCCAUGUGAAGAUAGAGGCAGAGACUGGAGUAAUGUGGUUACAAGCCAAGGAACAUCUGGAGUCACCAGGAAGUGGAAGAGGAAAGUAAGGAUUCUUUCUUAGAGCCUUUGGAGGAAACACAGCUCUACUAAAAUCUUGGUUUCAGACUUCUGGACUCCAGAACCGUGAUAAUAAAAUUUCUGUUGUUUUUAAGUUAUGAAGUUUGUGGAAAUUUGUUUGUUCAAGU